rnacentral:lncRNA from 1 species
CAAAUAGGCCCCAAACAUAGCAAAAGUUCGACAAUAUACAAUAAAUGUGUGGAAAGACAUUAUGAUUAGGUGACACUCGUCCUAGAUCAAGUCAAAUGGACACACAACCCCAAUCAUAGUAGACCACCAUCCCAAGUCUCACCCAUGCGGUCAAGUCUCAUUUACAGGACUACGGUGUGCACUGUGCAAAGGUGAAUGUCGAGCCAUAUACCCAAACCUCCACAGACAAAGUAAACUUAGAUGGAACCUUAGAGUCGUACAUAUGAUGAAUAAAGGAGUACGAGUCUAAAUGCACAUGUCAGAGUCAAAGCAUAUAAGGCACACACAAAAUCAAAACC